rnacentral:rRNA from 1 species
UCCGCAGGCGGAUUGGCAAAUAUCGUGUGAAAUACCAUGGCUCAACCAUGGAAUUGCUCGGUAAACUGCCAAUCUUGAACACGGUAGGGGCCAUCGGAACUCUAGGUGGAGCGGUGAAAUGCGUAGAUAUCUAGAGGAACGCCAGAGGCGAAGGCGGAUGGCUGGGCCGUUGUUGACGCUCAGGGACGAAAGCAUGGGUAGCGAACG